rnacentral:rRNA from 1 species
AUGAGAUCCCCAUCCCUCGAGCCAGCCGCGGCCGCCUCGCCGGUCCCCCGGGCUGCGGCCUUCGGGCGGGUCCGGGUCGCCCACGGCGCGCGGGGGCCGCGUGGCGUCGCGGGCGCCGGCGUCGCUGGGACCGCGGGCCGCCUGAGGGUGCUCGUCGCCGCGCUCCCGGAGCCCCUCCUCCACCGGCUCAUGCCCGCGCAGGAGGGCGCCGCAGCACUGUCGCCGGAGGCUGAUGAGGUGCAUGGGGACAUGGCUUCUGCCGAGAUUUCGUCACCCGCUGCUCGUGCUGUUCCUGGAAGCACAGUGCGUGUCAGAUUUGUGCUAAAAGAGCGGUGCAACUUCGGCCAAAGCUUCCAGAUGGUCGGCGACGACCCGGCGCUCGGCCUGUGGGAACCGGUGAGGGCGGUGGCUUUGGAUUGGUCUGAAGGCCACAAUUGGACAGUGGAGAAAGAUUUGCCUGCCAACAGGCUGAUUGAGUUCAAGUUCUUGCUGCAAGAUUCCCUGGGGAAGUUCCACUGGCAGAAUGGACCUAACAGAACCCUACAGACAGGUGAAACCACAAAGACAUUGGUGGUCUACGAGGAUUGGGGUAAUGCGAAGAAUCAGAAAGUAGCAGAGGAGGGAGACGCCCCGGUUCAAAUGAUGGAGGCAGUUCUCGAUGGUGAUCACGGCAGAAAUGGUGUUGUUUCGGCACAUGAGCUACAAGUGUGUGACAAUCAAGAGAUGAAAGAACCAGAUGCGCCCAUGCCGAUCCCUUGGGGCGGAGCUUUUGGCCGGGUCCGGGUCACCUACGGCGGGCAGGGGCUGCGGCGCGUCGGCAGCGAUGGCUUGGCUGGGACUGCCGGCCGCCUGAGCGUGCUCGUCACCGCGCUACCGAAGCCCCUCGAGCAGCUCGUGCCCACACAGGAGGGUGGCAUAGCACUAGCGCCGGAGGCUGAUGAGGUCCAGGGGGGAGUGGCCUCUGCUGAGAUUUCGUCACCACCUGCUCCUGCUGUUCCUGGAAGCACAGUGCGCGUCAGAUUUGUGCUAAAAGAGCAGUGCACCUUUGGCCAAAGCUUCCACCUGGUCGGUGAUGUCCCAGCACUUGGCCUCUGGGAACCGACGAAUGCGGUCGCUAUGGAUUGGUUGGAAGGCCAUGACUGGACCGUAGAGAAAGAUUUACCUGCCAACAGGUUGAUUGAGUUCAAGUUCUUGCUCCAAGAUUCCUUGGGAAAGUUCCAUUGGCAGAAUGGGCCUAAUAGAAGCCUACAGACAGGUGAAACCACAAAGACAUUGGUGGUCUACGAAGAUUGGGGUAAUGCGAAGAAUCAGAAAGUGGCAGAGGAGGGACACACCCCGGUUCAAAUGAUGGAGACAGUUGUCAAUGAUGAUCACGGCAGAAAUGGUGUUGUUUCGGCACAUGAGCUACAAGUGUGUGACAAUCAAGAGAUCAAAGAGGAUGAAUCAACUAUAAGCGAUGAUGAUAAUUCAAUGGCUGCUGCUAUUGCAUCUGUUGGAGAGGAAACAAUGAAGGCAUGUGAAGCUGAUCAACCAGAGCUAUUGAUGGGCGAACAGAAAAUUCAAGAUGAGCUUCGUUAUGAAAUAGACACAGCACCCCAGAAUGGCAGGGCUACGACGUAUGCUGAUGCUGAUGGUGAAUACGAUGAAACGACCGACGAUGAUAGUAUCCUGCCCAAGAAUGGCGCUCUGGUUAAGCAUGGGCUGGCAGGAGCUUUUGAGCGCGAGUUGCUUUGGGGUUGGAAGGCCUUGCAGCAGCUCGUGGGCUUCAAAGCGGACACAUGA